GCCAUGCCGCGUGAGUGANGAAGGCCUUCGGGUUGUAAACUGCUUUUGUCGGAACGAAANCACUCUGGUUAAUACCUGGGGUNCAUGACGGUACCGNAANAAUAAGCACCGGCUAACUACGUGCCAGCAGCCGCGGUAAUACGUAGGGUGCNAGCGUUAAUCGGAAUUACUGGGCGUAAAGCGUGCGCAGGCGGUUAUGUAAGACAGAUGUGAAAUCCCCGGGCUCAACCUGGGAACUGCAUUUGUGACUGNAUANCUNGAGUACGGCAGAGGGGGAUGGAAUUCCNCGUGUAGCAGUGAAAUGCGUAGAUAUGCGGAGGAACACCGAUGGCGAAGGCAAUCCCCUGGGCCUGUACUGACGCUCAUGCACGAAAGCGUGGGGAGCAAACAGGAUUAGAUACCCUGGUAGUCCACGCCCUAAACGAUGUCAACUGGNUGUUGGGUNUUCACUGACUCAU
rnacentral:rRNA from 1 species